AUUGAACGCUGGCGGCAUGCCUUACACAUGCAAGUCGAACGGCAGCACGGACUUCGGUCUGGUGGCGAGUGGCGAACGGGUGAGUAAUACAUCGGAACGUGCCUAGUAGUGGGGGAUAACUACUCGAAGGAGUGGCUAAUACCGCAUAAUGCAGUUGGGCCGCAUGGCUCUGACUGCCAAAGAUUUAUCGCUCUGAGAUGGCCUCGCGUCUGAUUAGCUAGUUGGUGGGGUAACGGCCCACCAAGGCGACGAUCAGUAGCCGGACUGAGAGGUUGGCCGGCCACAUUGGGACUGAGACACGGCCCAG
rnacentral:rRNA from 1 species